rnacentral:rRNA from 1 species
CAGCCGCCACGGGAAUACGUAGGUGGCAAGCGUUGUCCGGAAUUAUUGGGCGUAAAGGGCUCGCAGGCGGUUUCUUAAGUCUGAUGUGAAGGCCCCCGGCUCAACCGGGGAGGGUCAUUGGAAACUGGGAAACUUGAGUGCAGAAGAGGAGAGUGGAAUUCCACGUGUAGCGGUGAAAUGCGUAGAGAUGUGGAGGAACACCAGUGGCGAAGGCGACUCUCUGGUCUGUAACUGACGCUGAGGAGCGAAAGCGUGGGGAGCGAACAGGAUUAGAUACCCCUGUAGUCCCUGUCUCUUAUAC